rnacentral:rRNA from 1 species
GACGAACGCUGGCGGCGCGCCUAACACAUGCAAGUCGAACGGAGCUGAGAGAAGCUUGCUUUUCUUAGCUUAGUGGCGAACGGGUGAGUAACGCGUGAGUAACCUGCCCUGGAGUGGGGGACAACAGUUGGAAACGACUGCUAAUACCGCAUAAGCUCACGAUCCGGCAUCGGCUUGAGGGAAAAGGAUUUAUUCGCUUCGGGAUGGACUCGCGUCCAAUUAGCUGGUUGGUGAGGUAACGGCCAACCAAGGCGAGGCGUGGUAGCCGGACGGGGAGAUUGACAGGCAACAUUGGGACGAGGACCCGGCCCCGACUCCUCGGAGAGGAGGCAGUGGGGGAUAUUGCAAAAUGGGGGAAAUCCUGAUGCGGCGACGCCGGGUGGAGGAAGAAGGUUUUCGGAUUGUAAACUCUUGUCGUUAGGGACGAUAAUGACGGUACCUAACAAGAAAGCACCGGCUAACUACGUG